ACCCAGCUGGAGAGCCCCAUAUAGGACGAAACGCAUGUCCUGGAU
rnacentral:hammerhead_ribozyme from 1 species